CAAAUUUAAACUCAAUUAUAUAACCUAAAUUCGCCUUAUCAUCAGCAAAAUCCAAUCCGUUGUCAGCCUUGUUCCACUGCUUAAAAAACUUAAGCCUAAUGUAUUUUAGUGGAAUCGGGUCGACUAGGAAACUAGGUGGCCGGAUCCUUUUUUGUUUGUUCUUGCUCACCAGUUUUCAGAUUCUUUUCAGAGCCGCAGAUUCGGCUUUUAGGUCCGAACGAUAGUAUCCCUGCGAGUGAACUGCGAAGGGGCUUUCAUCCGCCAUUUUCAGCUUCUCUUAUGCUGUAAGUUUAUAUUGCUAAAACCCCUUCUUUCUAUUUUGAAGAAAUGUUUCGUUUCGUAUCCAAAAUCCUCAUCAAUCAUAGCAUCGUAGAUUCCAAAGCUUGUUAUGCUCGUUAUAUUCAAACCCUGCCUUCUGUAAACUCAACAUCAAUCUCAAAAGCCCAAUCUUUAACUCUCUCUUACCUCACCAACUCAUGUGGGUUGUCGCCACAUAAGGCUGUUUCGGCCAGCAAGUAUGUUCUUAUUAAGAGCACAGAUAAACCAGACUUGGUUCUUCGACUGUUAAGAGCUAAUGGGUUUACUAAAUCUCAAAUUGCUACCUUAAUUUCAAAUAACCCACAACUUAUUCUCGCCGAUCCAAAAAAAACCCUUGAACCCAAGAUUGAAUUUUUUGAGUCACUGGGUAUUGCAGGGCCUGACCUGCGGCAGAUACUAUGUAUAAAUACAAGUAUUUUAGUGACUAGUUUAAAGAGACGGAUUUUGCCCUCUUUUGAUUUCCUUAGGGGGUUGUUUGAGACCGAUGAGAAUGUUAUUCUUGCCUUGAAGCGAUCCCCUCAUAUCCUUACCUGUGGUUCUGAGGUGAUGUUGUCUAAUAUAUGGACUUUGCGAUCUCAUGGUGUGCCAGAACCCAGUAUUAGGAGGUUAAUAGUAACUUGGCCUGGAUCAAUAAAACUUAGUGUUGAUUUUUUUGAAGAAAAAGUUCGAGAAGUUAAGGAAAUGGGGUUUGAACCAACGGCAAAGUCCUUUAUAUAUGCUUUCUAUUCAAUGUCCUCAAUGAGCAAAUCCAAGUGGGAAAGGAAAAAGAAGAUCUUGAUGAGCUUUGGCUGGUCAGAAAGAGAGAUUUUUACGGCAUUUAGAGUAAACCCAUUAUUCAUGACUGCAUCUGAGAAGAAGAUUAAACAAUUAAUGGAGUUCUAUCUGACCAAAGGUUGUUUGCAGCUUCCAGAUCUUGUUAGAUCCCCACAACUAUUUAAGAUCAGUUUGGAGAGAACUGCCAUACCAAGAUGCUCUGUUUUGGAAGUGCUAACGUCCAAGGGCUUGAUUGAAAGGAAUGUAAAUGUUGUUUCGGCAUUAAGCAUAUCUAAGAAACAGUUCGAGAACAAGUUUUUGGCUUAUUUUAAGGAGGAUUCCCCUGAAUUGAUCCAGGCAUAUCAGGUUGAGACAUCUCAAGUACUUGGUAGCAAAAUGUGAUAGGUGAUUUGAUGAAGGAAGCUUUAAGCACAAGAAAUGCCUAAGCACUAGGUUUGCAAUCUGUUAGUUAAGCAAUGGUUGGAGCAGUGCCAGUAAAUGCGUCUCAGUUCCCAUUUCGAGGGCUUAGUAAGAUCAGAUUGAUUGAUCGUCUUAAGCUUGUUUUGUUGUAACCCUUCAAGCAAAGAGGGACAAUAUUAUAGAAUAAAUAACCUCCAUUUAUUGCCAUGGCUUCUUUUUGGUUGAUAAUCUUCCUUGCAUUCCUGCCUUGUUUUCUUAUAGAUUUUUUUCCUUUUUUUUGGGUGCUCAUAAACAAUAUCAAUUUGAUGUGAAUUUAACAGAAGCUCUUUUAUUGAGUGCCCUGAUUAGUCUUGAGAAAAUUAUAUUCUUCAAAGAAGAUACAAGGAAGGAAGAGAAUGUGUUGUUUGCUCCUCUACAACGUUGGCAGCGUAGAAGACCAAAAAAUAAGGGAGUUUUAGAAAGAGUAGUUAUGGUUAGGAAUGGCAAUAGUUAAUGUAAUAAAUUUAAAGUUUUUCACUAUUUGAUGCAGUUGGUGGAUGCAGUUGAUAAUGAAUGAUUGGUGUUAAUAGUUUUG
rnacentral:misc_RNA from 1 species